UACGUAGGGUGCGAGCGUUAAUCGGAAUUACUGGGCGUAAAGCGUGCGCAGGCGGUUUGUUAAGACAGAUGUGAAAUCCCCGGGCUUAACCUGGGAACUGCAUUUGUGACUGGCAAGCUAGAGUAUGGCAGAGGGGGGGUAGAAUUCCACGUGUAGCAGUGAAAUGCGUAGAGAUGUGGAGGAAUACCGAUGGCGAAGGCAGGUCUCUGGGCUGAUACUGACGCUCAUGCACGAAAGCGUGGGGAGCAAACAGG
rnacentral:rRNA from 1 species